rnacentral:rRNA from 2 species
UGGCGGCGUGCCUAAUACAUGCAAGUCGAGCGAAUGGAUUGAGAGCUUGCUCUCAAGAAGUUAGCGGCGGACGGGUGAGUAACACGUGGGUAACCUGCCCAUAAGACUGGGAUAACUCCGGGAAACCGGGGCUAAUACCGGAUAACAUUUUGAACUGCAUGGUUCGAAAUUGAAAGGCGGCUUCGGCUGUCACUUAUGGAUGGACCCGCGUCGCAUUAGCUAGUUGGUGAGGUAACGGCUCACCAAGGCAACGAUGCGUAGCCGACCUGAGAGGGUGAUCGGCCACACUGGGACUGAGACACGGCCCAGACUCCUACGGGAGGCAGCAGUAGGGAAUCUUCCGCAAUGGACGAAAGUCUGACGGAGCAACGCCGCGUGAGUGAUGAAGGCUUUCGGGUCGUAAAACUCUGUUGUUAGGGAAGAACAAGUGCUAGUUGAAUAAGCUGGCACCUUGACGGUACCUAACCAGAAAGCCACGGCUAACUACGUGCCAGCAGCCGCGGUAAUACGUAGGUGGCAAGCGUUAUCCGGAAUUAUUGGGCGUAAAGCGCGCGCAGGUGGUUUCUUAAGUCUGAUGUGAAAGCCCACGGCUCAACCGUGGAGGGUCAUUGGAAACUGGGAGACUUGAGU